rnacentral:rRNA from 1 species
CGGGGUGCAGCAGGCGCGAAAACUUUACAAUGCGGGAAACCGUGAUAAGGGGACACCGAGUGCCAGCAUCAUAUGCUGGCUGUCCAGGUGUGUAAAAUACACCUGUCAGCAAGGGCCGGGCAAGACCGGUGCCAGCCGCCGCGGUAACACCGGCGGCCCGAGUGGUGAUCGUGAUUAUUGGGUCUAAAGGGUCCGUAGCCGGUUUGGUCAGUCCUCCGGGAAAUCUGACGGCUCAACCGUUAGGCUUUCGGGGGAUACUGCCAGGCUUGGAACCGGGAGAGGUAAGAGGUACUACAGGGGUAGGAGUGAAAUCUUGUAAUCCCUGUGAGACCACCUGUGGCGAAGGCGUCUUACCAGAACGGGUUCGACGGUGAGGGACGAAAGCUGGGGGCACGAACCGGAUUAGAUACCCGGGUAGUCCCAGCCGUAAACGAUGCUCGCUAGGUGUCAGGCAUGGCGCGACCGUGUCUGGUGCCGCAGGGAAGCCGUGAAGCGAGCCACCUGGGAAGUACGGCCGCAAGGCUGAAACUUAAAGGAAUUGGCGGGGGAGCACAAGGGCGAUUCGC